UCUUCGGCAAUGGGCGCAAGCCUGACCGAGCGACGCCGCGUGGAGGAUGAAGGCCUUCGGGUUGUAAACUCCUGGUCGAGGGGGAAAAAGGGCCGCAAGGUCUUGAUUGAUCCCUGGAGGAAGCACGGGCUAAGUUCGUGCCAGCAGCCGCGGUAAGACGAACCGUGCGAACGUUAUUCGGAAUCAUUGGGCUUAAAGCGCGUGUAGGCGGGUUCGUGCGUCUGUCGCUGAAAUCCCCCGGCUCAACCGGGGAAGGGGCGCGGAUACGACGAGUCUGGAGGGGCAUAGGGGGACCUGGAACUUCCGGUGGAGCGGUGAAAUGCGUUGAGAUCGGAAGGAACGCCCGUGGCGAAAGCGAGGUCCUGGAUGCUUACUGACGCUGAGACGCGAAAGCCAGGGGAGCGAACGGGAUUAGAUACCCCGGUAGUCCUGGCCGUAAACGAUGGGUACUGGAUAGGGGGCUCGCCGAUGGGCUCCCUGUCGUAGGGAAACCGUGAAGUACCCCGCCUGGGGAGUAUGGUCGCAAGGCUG
rnacentral:rRNA from 1 species